UGGAGCUUCCUGGACAUCAAGCAUUGUUCCUAAGCUUCAAUUUGUUACUAAGGACCAUUUAUUAGGAGCCCAGUAAAAGCUACGUGCACUUGCUGUAUUUGAUUUAUACUUUGUUCAGGUAAAUACUUUUAACUUAUUUUCCCUAUACGGGCUUGGGAUACGGUACUAUAAAAGUACCGCUUGGUCGGGUUUAUGUAUGCAGGUACUAGACGAAAUAGGCUGGCUACUCCAGACAUCAUUACUCAAGUCUCGCAAGCUUUAGAUGUCAAAGUCUGUUGAACAGUUUCCUUUUUAUUUGAUC
rnacentral:lncRNA from 1 species